GUGUUGAUUGUUACACAAACCCUGCAAAUGGAGAAAAUGCAAGUGAGAAAGUCGUCAACUCACUGCUUUAAGUCCCUUGAAUCAUCACUAAAUUUUCAGCUCUAGGCCUUUGUGCAAAGCCACAUUGCAUAUUUAGAGGUUAGGCAAGCACUUGGAAUAGAGGGAAACUAUUGCAUGAGAUAUCUUUUGAAUAAUUGCCAAUGACUACCUCCUUAACACCUACUUUCCCCCAUAGUUUUGUCAUCUUCAGGUCUAGUUCUUGUUAACAUACAUGCAACUGGGGAAUAUCAUAAUCAAGAUUCAUGUCUAACAUGUCCUCAAUGCAGACUGGUGGUACCUAAUUCACGUUAUAUAAUACCUUGUAUCCAGGAUUAAAUAAUUAAGGAAAGAAAAAUUAUGAAAGCAUAAAGUCAUAAAGAUUAUCCUCAGGUUAUAAACAUCUGAUGUACUGAAAAUGAAUAAUGAUACAUAUGGACCAGCAUCAGAAGAAAAUGAACAAAUAGAGGGCUAUCAUUUAAUGUGUACUAUGUUCAACACUUCUCAGUUGCCACAAGACACUUUUCACAUGCACAUUGCAACAGAUUAAGAUUUUCUAACCACAAAGAAAAUCAGUGACAACUUCAGCGACCAGUAGUAAAAGUAACCCACAGAACAUCCAUUUCAAAUUUUAAAUUUAGUUGAUUAAAGAGACUUGCUCAACCAGGAAACAGAUUCAAUG
rnacentral:misc_RNA from 1 species